rnacentral:lncRNA from 10 species
UUUUUUUUUUUUUCUGAGACGGAGUCUUGCUCUGUCACCCAGGCUGGAGUGCAGUGGCGCAAUCUCAGCUCACUGCAACCUCUGCCUCCUGGCGAUUCUCAUGCCUCAGCCUCCCAAGUAGCUGGUAUUACAGUGUGUGCCACCACACCUGGCUGAUUUUUGGAUUUUUAGUAGAGAUGGGGCUUCACCACGUUGGCCAGGCUGGUCUCAAACUCCUGACGUUAGGUAAUCCUCCUGCCUCAGCUUCCCAAAGGGCUGGGAUUACAGGCGUGAGCUACCAUGCCUGGCCAAAAAUAUGUAUUUUAAAUUGUACCAACUCAUCUUGACUUUUUAUAUUUCAGUUUUAAACAUUUGCAUCCAGUUAGGACUCUUACAUAAUAAGGAAUUUAGAUAACUUUUUUCCAUCAAAAUUCAAAUUACUUUAACCC